rnacentral:rRNA from 1 species
UAGAGCGGCGGACGGGUGAGUAACACGUGGACAAUCUGACCCCCCGGCCCGGGAUAGCCCGAGGGAAACCUGGAUUAAUACCGGAUGAGACGGGACCCGCGAAGGCGGGACCCGGAAAGGCGCUGCGGCGCCGGCGGGGGAUGAGUCUGCGUCCCAUUAGCUAGACGGCGGGUAACGGCCCACCGUGGCGACGAUGGGUAGCCGGCCUGAGAGGGUGGACGGCCACAUUGGAACUGAGACACGGUCCAGACUCCUACGGGAGGCAGCAGCUAAGAAUCUUCCGCAAUGGGCGAAAGCCUGACGGGAACGCGACGCCGCGUGAACGAAGAAGGCCGUGAGGUUGUAAAGUUCUUUUCGGGAGGGGGAACAACCGUGGCAGGGAAUGGCCGCGGGAUGACGUGAAUCCCCGGAAUAAGCCCCGGCUAACUACGUGCCAGCCGCCGC